rnacentral:rRNA from 1 species
ACUCAAAUGAAUUGACGGGGACUUGCACAAGCAGAGGAUUAUGAGGUUCAAUUCGACGACAAACGAAAAACCUUACCAGGGCUUGAAACCUACACGACAUCCCCAGAAACGGGGCCUCCGCAAGGCGGGUAGGCAGGUGCUGCAUGGCCGUCGUCAGCUCGUGGCUUGAGUUGUUCCCUUCAGUGGGGUAACGAGCGCAACCCUCGUCGCGUGUUACACGUAUCGCGCGAGACUGCCCCGUAAUGUGUCCAGAAAAUUUUUCCGGAUAGAUUACGGGGAGGAAGGGGAGGAUGACGCCAGGUCCGCAUGGCCCUUUGACGCCCUGGGCCACACUCAUAAUACAAUCGCCGCACACAGAGCGACGCAAUACCGCAAGGUGGAGCAAAUCGUUUAAAAGGCGGCGCCAGUUCGGAUUGAGGGCUGAAACUCGCCCUCAUGAAGCCGGAUUUGCUAGUAAUCGCAGGUCAGCUAUACUGCGGUGAAUACGUUCUCAAGUCUUGUACACACCGCCCGU